rnacentral:rRNA from 1 species
UACGAAGGGGGCUAGCGUUGUUCGGAAUUACUGGGCGUAAAGCGCACGUAGGCGGAUUUGUAAGUCAGGGGUGAAAUCCCGGGGCUCAACCUCGGAACUGCCUUUGAUACUGCAAGUCUUGAGACCGGAAGAGGUGAGUGGAAUUCCUAGUGUAGAGGUGAAAUUCGUAGAUAUUAGGAAGAACACCAGUGGCGAAGGCGGCUCGCGGGUCCGGUUCUGACGCUGAGGUGCGAAAGCGUGGGGAGCAAACAGG